GGGUUGUGAGGUUAAGCGACUAAGCGUACACGGUGGAUGCCCUGGCAGUCAGAGGCGAUGAAGGACGUGCUAAUCUGCGAUAAGCGUCGGUAAGGUGAUAUGAACCGUUAUAACCGGCGAUUUCCGAAUGGGGAAACCCAGUGUGUUUCGACACACUAUCAUUAACUGAAUCCAUAGGUUAAUGAGGCGAACCGGGGGAACUGAAACAUCUAAGUACCCCGAGGAAAAGAAAUCAACCGAGAUUCCCCCAGUAGCGGCGAGCGAACGGGGAGCAGCCCAGAGCCUGAAUCAGUGUGUGUGUUAGUGGAAGCGUCUGGAAAGGCGCGCGAUACAGGGUGACAGCCCCGUACACAAAAAUGCACAUGCUGUGAGCUCGAUGAGUAGGGCGGGACACGUGGUAUCCUGUCUGAAUAUGGGGGGACCAUCCUCCAAGGCUAAAUACUCCUGACUGACCGAUAGUGAACCAGUACCGUGAGGGAAAGGCGAAAAGAACCCCGGCGAGGGGAGUGAAAAAGAACCUGAAACCGUGUACGUACAAGCAGUGGGAGCACGCUUAGGCGUGUGACUGCGUACCUUUUGUAUAAUGGGUCAGCGACUUAUAUUCUGUAGCAAGGUUAACCGAAUAGGGGAGCCGAAGGGAAACCGAGUCUUAACUGGGCGUUAAGUUGCAGGGUAUAGACCCGAAACCCGGUGAUCUAGCCAUGGGCAGGUUGAAGGUUGGGUAACACUAACUGGAGGACCGAACCGACUAAUGUUGAAAAAUUAGCGGAUGACUUGUGGCUGGGGGUGAAAGGCCAAUCAAACCGGGAGAUAGCUGGUUCUCCCCGAAAGCUAUUUAGGUAGCGCCUCGUGAAUUCAUCUCCGGGGGUAGAGCACUGUUUCGGCAAGGGGGUCAUCCCGACUUACCAACCCGAUGCAAACUGCGAAUACCGGAGAAUGUUAUCACGGGAGACACACGGCGGGUGCUAACGUCCGUCGUGAAGAGGGAAACAACCCAGACCGCCAGCUAAGGUCCCAAAGUCAUGGUUAAGUGGGAAACGAUGUGGGAAGGCCCAGACAGCCAGGAUGUUGGCUUAGAAGCAGCCAUCAUUUAAAGAAAGCGUAAUAGCUCACUGGUCGAGUCGGCCUGCGCGGAAGAUGUAACGGGGCUAAACCAUGCACCGAAGCUGCGGCAGCGACGCUGAUGCGUUGUUGGGUAGGGGAGCGUUCUGUAAGCCUGCGAAGGUGUGCUGUGAGGCAUGCUGGAGGUAUCAGAAGUGCGAAUGCUGACAUAAGUAACGAUAAAGCGGGUGAAAAGCCCGCUCGCCGGAAGACCAAGGGUUCCUGUCCAACGUUAAUCGGGGCAGGGUGAGUCGACCCCUAAGGCGAGGCCGAAAGGCGUAGUCGAUGGGAAACAGGUUAAUAUUCCUGUACUUGGUGUUACUGCGAAGGGGGGACGGAGAAGGCUAUGUUGGCCGGGCGACGGUUGUCCCGGUUUAAGCGUGUAGGCUGGUUUUCCAGGCAAAUCCGGAAAAUCAAGGCUGAGGCGUGAUGACGAGGCACUACGGUGCUGAAGCAACAAAUGCCCUGCUUCCAGGAAAAGCCUCUAAGCAUCAGGUAACAUCAAAUCGUACCCCAAACCGACACAGGUGGUCAGGUAGAGAAUACCAAGGCGCUUGAGAGAACUCGGGUGAAGGAACUAGGCAAAAUGGUGCCGUAACUUCGGGAGAAGGCACGCUGAUAUGUAGGUGAAGUCCCUCGCGGAUGGAGCUGAAAUCAGUCGAAGAUACCAGCUGGCUGCAACUGUUUAUUAAAAACACAGCACUGUGCAAACACGAAAGUGGACGUAUACGGUGUGACGCCUGCCCGGUGCCGGAAGGUUAAUUGAUGGGGUCAGCGCAAGCGAAGCUCUUGAUCGAAGCCCCGGUAAACGGCGGCCGUAACUAUAACGGUCCUAAGGUAGCGAAAUUCCUUGUCGGGUAAGUUCCGACCUGCACGAAUGGCGUAAUGAUGGCCAGGCUGUCUCCACCCGAGACUCAGUGAAAUUGAACUCGCUGUGAAGAUGCAGUGUACCCGCGGCAAGACGGAAAGACCCCGUGAACCUUUACUAUAGCUUGACACUGAACAUUGAGCCUUGAUGUGUAGGAUAGGUGGGAGGCUUUGAAGUGUGGACGCCAGUCUGCAUGGAGCCGACCUUGAAAUACCACCCUUUAAUGUUUGAUGUUCUAACGUUGACCCGUAAUCCGGGUUGCGGACAGUGUCUGGUGGGUAGUUUGACUGGGGCGGUCUCCUCCUAAAGAGUAACGGAGGAGCACGAAGGUUGGCUAAUCCUGGUCGGACAUCAGGAGGUUAGUGCAAUGGCAUAAGCCAGCUUGACUGCGAGCGUGACGGCGCGAGCAGGUGCGAAAGCAGGUCAUAGUGAUCCGGUGGUUCUGAAUGGAAGGGCCAUCGCUCAACGGAUAAAAGGUACUCCGGGGAUAACAGGCUGAUACCGCCCAAGAGUUCAUAUCGACGGCGGUGUUUGGCACCUCGAUGUCGGCUCAUCACAUCCUGGGGCUGAAGUAGGUCCCAAGGGUAUGGCUGUUCGCCAUUUAAAGUGGUACGCGAGCUGGGUUUAGAACGUCGUGAGACAGUUCGGUCCCUAUCUGCCGUGGGCGCUGGAGAACUGAGGGGGGCUGCUCCUAGUACGAGAGGACCGGAGUGGACGCAUCACUGGUGUUCGGGUUGUCAUGCCAAUGGCACUGCCCGGUAGCUAAAUGCGGAAGAGAUAAGUGCUGAAAGCAUCUAAGCACGAAACUUGCCCCGAGAUGAGUUCUCCCUGACUCCUUGAGAGUCCUGAAGGAACGUUGAAGACGACGACGUUGAUAGGCCGGGUGUGUAAGCGCAGCGAUGCGUUGAGCUAACCGGUACUAAUGAACCGUGAGGCUUAACCUUACAACGCCGAAG
rnacentral:rRNA from 1 species